ACUGAUAACUCAAAUAGCGGUGGACGAACAGAAAAAGUUAAACAAAUGUAUAGAAAAUGAGCGUUAUAUUUUUAAUAAUUACAGUAGUUUUCGCUGUGUGCGUCACACGAGCGAAGUCCUCGCCUGCUGGCUUCACCUGGGGAAAGUCUGGUAUUUCUGAUCUGACAGGCAACUUUCCCCUUCAGCAGAUUUUGUCCAUUAAAUCCAAAGCCCAUUAAUGCGAAGUCUAUUAAACCAAGGGUUUACUGUACUGAACCCUAUAAUACAGUCCCUUUGCCUUUGUCCCAGUAAGGAGCGAUGACGUGGAAGACCUUGUUGCUCCUCAGAUUGCAGCCAUCAGUGACCAGUACAG